ensembl:lncRNA
CUGUUUGGUUUACAGAUUCAGGGCAGCCCUCAAAAUAUACUAUUAUAUUAUUCACUGCUGAAGAUAAGUUAAAUGGUAGUCAGUCAAGAAGUUUUCUGGGAGAAAGCGAUGAGCUUCAGGAACUUAUCAACAUCUGUGGAUUUAGAAAUCACUCUCUCAACAACCAGACCAAAGAUCGCUUUCAGGUCACAGAGCUGCUGAGGAAGACAAAACAGAUGGUGGAGGGGAAUGGAGGACAGUACUAAACCAGUGAUAUGAUAGAGGAGAUGGUGGAAUGGAGGACAGUACUAAACCAGUGAUAUGAUAGAGGAGAUGGUAGAGGGGAAUGGAGGACAGUACUACUCCAGUGAUAUGAUAGAGGAGAUGGUGGAAUGGAGGACAGUACUAAACCAGUGAUAUGAUAGAGGUGAUGGUGGAAUGGAGGACAGUAUUAUACCAGUGAUAUGAUAGAAGAGAUGGUGGAAUGGAGGACAGUACUAUACCAGUGAUAUGAUAGAGGUGAUGGUGGAAUGGAGGACAGUACUACUCCAGUGAUAUGAUAGAGGUGAUGGUGGAAUGGAGGACAGUACUAUACCAGUGAUAUGAUAGAGGUGAUGGUGGAAUGGAGGACAGUACUACUCCAGUGAUAUGAUAGAGGAGAUGGUAGAAUGGAGGACAGUACUACUCCAGUGAUAUGAUAGAGGAGAUGGUGGAGGAGAAUGGAGGACAGUACUAAACCAGUGAUAUGAUAGAGGAGAUGGUAGAAUGGAGGACAGUACUAAAAUAGUGAGAUGGAGCGGUGAUGGGGGAGGGGAAUGGAGGUCAGUACUAAACCAGUGAUAUGAUGGAGGAGAUGGUGGAGGAGAAUGGAGGACAGUACUAAACCAGUGAUAUGAUAGAGGAGAUGGUGGAAUGGAGGACAGUACUAAACCAGUGAUAUGAUGGAGGAGAUGGUGGAGGAGAAUGGAGGACAGUACUAAACCAGUGAUAUGAUAGAGGAGAUGGUGGAAUGGAGGACAGUACUAAACCAGUGAUAUGAUGGAGGAGAUGGUGGAGGAGAAUGGAGGACAGUACUAAACCAGUGAUAUGAUAGAGGAGAUGGUAGAAUGGAGGACAGUACUAAAACAGUGAGAUGGAGAGGUGAUGGGGGAGGGGAAUGGAGGUCAGUACUACAACGUUGAGAUGAAUCAGGAAGCUCUGAGAGCCCAAGAACAGACAGACAGUUGGAGAAAGAUUGCAAAGUUAGGGAAAGCCGUGCAAAGGCAGGAACUUGUUUUAUAAUCGCUGGAACAGCAGAGCUUGUGUUACCAAUUGAGUUGUCGACAACAUCAGUAGCGGUAAAAUAUAGAUUAGGAAGCAGGAUGCAUUUCACUGAUUGUAACCAUAGCCAAUGACUUCUGAUAGGGAGGGGAAAGCAACUAAAGAUUCAUAUUCGGAUGAAGAAUUUUUUAUUUUUUAUUUCUACAAACAGUAGUAUAAACUUCUCUGUCACUUGUUUAUGUCAGACUGUCUUUUUUUUGGACAAAAUUAUUUCUGAAGUUAAAAACAUUUAUGAAAUAUAUGCAAGCUAUUGUGAGGAGUUAAUAAUAAAUACUUUAUAACAACUGAA